rnacentral:lncRNA from 1 species
CCUAGUGAGACCCUGUCUCUACAGACAAACAAACAAAGAACAAAUAAUUAAUUGGGCAUGGUGAUGCACACAUAUAGUUCCAACUACUUGGGAGGCUGAGGUGGGAGGAUCACUUGAGCCUGGGAGGUCAAGGCUGCAGUGAGCUAUGAUCAUGUCAUUGCACUCCAGCCUGGGCAACAAAGCAAGACUCUGUGAGAAAAAAACAAAAACUAAUACCAAUCCCUUUCAAACUCAUCCAAAAAAUUGAAGAGGAGGGAGCGCUUCCUGACUCAUUCAUUGAGACCAGCAUUACCCUGAUACCAACACCAAAGUACAAGAAAACCAUAGACCAAUAUCCCUUAUGAAUGUUGAUGCAAAAACCCUCAAAAAAUAAAAGCACAAUGAAUUGAGUAGCAUAGUAGAAAGAUUAUAUAUCUGACCAAGUAGGAUUUAUUCCUAGAAUGCAAUAAUGGGUCAACAUACAAAAAACAAUCAAUAGAAUACACCAUAUCAACAGAAUGAAGGGGGAAAAAACAUGACUAUUUCAAUUGAUUAAAAAAUGAUUAGAAAAAUCAUUUGACAAAGUCAAACACCCUUUCAUGAUUUAAAAAAAAAAAAACACUCAACAACCCAGAAAUAGAAGGAAACUUUCUCUAGUUAAAGGCCAUAUAUAAAAACCCCACAGCUAGCGUCAUAUAAUCAAUGGUAAAAGACAGAUAGCUUUCCCCCGAAGACCAGGAACAAGAGAAGGAUGUCCACUUUUGCUAUUUCUAUCCAAUGCAGUAGUAGAAGUUCUAGCCAAAGCAAUUUGGCAAAAAAAAAAAAAAAAAAGGCCAGGCACAGUGGCUCACACCUGUAAUCCCAACACUUUGGGAGGCCGAGGCGGGUGGAUCACCUGAGGUCAGAAGUUCAAGACCAGCCUGGCCAACAUGGUGAAACCGCAUCCCUACCAAAAAUACAAAAAAUUAGCCGGGCGUGGUAGCAGGUGCCUGUAAUCCUAGCUACUUGGAAGGCUGAGGCAGAAGAAUCCCUUGAACCCAGGAGGCAGAGGUUGCAGUAAGCUGAAAUUACGUCACUGCACUCCAGCCUGAGCAACAAGAGUGAAACUCCAUCUCAAAAAAAAAAAAAGAAGUUAAAAACACAAUGGAAAGGAAGAAGUAAAAUUAUCUCUGUUCACAGAGGAUAUGAUCUUAUACAGAAGAAAUCCUAAAUGAUCCACAAAGAAACUGUUAGAGAUAAUAAAGAAACUCAGCCAAGUUGCAGGAUACAAAAUCAACUUGCAAAAAUCAGUUGCAUUCUAUACAGUAGUAAUGAACAAUCCAAAAAGAAACUUAAGGAAACAAUCUCAGGCUGGGGACGGUGGCUCACGCUUGUAAUCCCAGCAUUUUGGGAGACUGAGAAGGGCAGAUCACUUGAGGUCAGGAGUUCGAGACUAGCCUGGCCAAGAUGACAAAACCCCAUCUCUACUAAAAAAAACAAAAAUACAAAAAUUAGCUGGGUGUAGUGGCUCAUGCCUGUAAUCCCAGCUACUUGGGAGGCUGAGGCAGGAGAAUAGCUUGUCUCCAGGAGGCAGAGGUUGCAGUGAGCCGAGAUCACAGCACUGCACUCCGC